GAUGAACGCUAGCGGGAGGCCUAAUACAUGCAAGUCGAACGGUAACAGGGUAGCAAUACCGCUGACGAGUGGCGCACGGGUGAGUAACGCGUACACAACCUGCCUUAUACUGGAGCAUAGCCUUGGGAAACUAAGAUUAAUUCUCCAUAACAUUAUGAAACGGCAUCGUUUAUAAUUAAAUUCCGAUGGUAUAAGAUGGGUGUGCGUCUGAUUAGCUAGUUGGUGAGGUAAAGGCUCACCAAGGCAACGAUCAGUAACUGGUCUGAGAGGAUGAUCAGUCACACGGGCACUGAGACACGGGCCCGACUCCUACGGGAGGCAGCAGUAGGGAAUAUUGGACAA
rnacentral:rRNA from 1 species